GCUCUCGUGGCGUAACGGUUGUCGUUUUGCCUUUUAUUCAAGAGAUCCAGGGUUCGACUCCCACUGGUGGUC